GGGGAGCGGCAGACGGGUGAGUAACGCGUGGGAAUCUACCCAUCCCUACGGAACAACUCCGGGAAACUGGAGCUAAUACCGUAUACGCCCCUCGGGGGAAAGAUUUAUCGGGGAUGGAUGAGCCCGCGUUGGAUUAGCUAGUUGGUGGGGUAAAGGCCUACCAAGGCGACGAUCCAUAGCAGGUCUGAGAGGAUGAUCAGCCACAUUGGGACUGAGACACGGCCCAAACUCCUACGGGAGGCAGCAGUGGGGAAUAUUGGACAAUGGGCGCAAGCCUGAUCCAGCCAUGCCGCGUGAGUGAUGAAGGUCUUAGGAUUGUAAAGCUCUUUCACCGGAGAAGAUAAUGACGGUAUCCGGAGAAGAAGCCCCGGCUAACUUCGUGCCAGCAGCCGCGGUAAUA
rnacentral:rRNA from 1 species